rnacentral:rRNA from 1 species
CCUACGGGUGGCUGCAGUGGGGAAUAUUGGACAAUGGGGGGAACCCUGAUCCAGCCAUGCCGCGUGUGUGAAGAAGGCCCUCGGGUUGUAAAGCACUUUCAGUGAGGAAGAACGCCUGGUGGUUAAUACCCAUCAGGAAAGACAUCACUCACAGAAGAAGCACCGGCUAACUCCGUGCCAGCAGCCGCGGUAAUACGGAGGGUGCGAGCGUUAAUCGGAAUUACUGGGCGUAAAGCGCGCGUAGGUGGCUUGAUAAGCCGGUUGUGAAAGCCCCGGGCUCAACCUGGGAACGGCAUCCGGAACUGUCAAGCUAGAGUGCAGGAGAGGAAGGUAGAAUUCCCGGUGUAGCGGCGAAAUGCGUAGAGAUCGGGAGGAAUACCAGUGGCGAAGGCGGCCUUCUGGACUGACACUGACACUGAGGUGCGAAAGCGUGGGUAGCAAACAGGAUUAGAUACCCUGGUAGUC